GUUGUAAACCUCUUUCAGUAGGGAAGAAGCGAAAGUGACGGUACCUGCAGAAGAAGCACCGGCUAACUACGUGCCAGCAGCCGCGGUAAUACGUAGGGUGCGAGCGUUAUCCGGAAUUAUUGGGCGUAAAGAGCUCGUAGGCGGUUUGUCGCGUCUGUCGUGAAAGUCCGGGGCUUAACCCCCGGAUCUGCGGUGGGUACGGGCAGACUAGAGUGCAGUAGGGGAGACUGGAAUUCCUGGUGUAGCGGUGGAAUGCGCAGAUAUCAGGAGGAACACCGAUGGCGAAGGCAGGUCUCUGGGCUGUAACUGACGCUGAGGAGCGAAAGCAUGGGGAGCGAACAGGAUUAGAUACCCUGGUAGUCCAUGCCGUAAACGUUGGGCACUAGGUGUGGGGACCAUUCCACGGUUUCCGCGCCGCAGCUAACGCAUUAAGUGCCCCGCCUGGGGAGUACGGCCGCAAGGCUAAAACUCAAAGGAAUUGACGGGGGCCCGCACAAGCGGCGGAGCAUGCGGAUUAAUUCGAUGCAACGCGAAGAACCUUACCAAGGCUUGACAUGUUCUCGAUCGCCGUAGAGAUACGGUUUCCCCUUUGGGGCGGGUUCACAGGUGGUGCAUGGUUGUCGUCAGCUCGUGUCGUGAGAUGUUGGGUUAAGUCCCGCAACGAGCGCAACCCUCGUUCCAUGUUGCCAGCACGUCGUGGUGGGGA
rnacentral:rRNA from 1 species